AGAGAAGGGUGACCCUGGGCUCGCUGGGGAUGCUGGAGCUCAAGGUGUCCCGGGAGAGCAGGGUUUGCCCGGGCCACAAGGAAUACCUGGAAUAAAGGGAAUCCAGGGGCCCCAGGGACCGCCCGGAGAGAUCGGCCAAGAUGGUCCCAAGGUCUGUGCGUUGAACGUUAUAAUUAGUUAUUAUGCUAAUGGCCUGCUGC
rnacentral:lncRNA from 1 species